UUUAUUGUGAAGAUGGAGAUCAGUAAGGAGUUCACAGUGUAUUUAACUCACAUCAGUUAUUCCGGUUACACUUCUCAUUUACAUUGAUAAAAUAUCCUAUAAUAAGGCAGAAAAAUCACAAGAAAAAUAUUUGAAAAUAAUGAUUCCAGAACAAAAUGGCCUAGGCUGUAUUCCAUGGGACACUCCUGUACAGAGUGAUACUAACAAAUAUUUCAGGAAAAGCAAGCGCUGAGGUAAAAAAUAUCUUACAGUUUGGUAAGGAUUAAAAAUGCUUCAUAAGGAAAUAAAUUUAUAAUUAAAAAUGAGAAAAGAUGCAAAAAGAAAUACACAGGAUGCUGUAGAUUUGCUCUACAGAGUCAAAAAUCUAAUUAAAGAAAUAUACAGGAUGCUGUAGAAAACAAUAACAGAGUCAACAAUCUAAUUGCAUAUCAAAGUUAUCACUGUGAAGAAAGGACAUCACUCUGCUUUCAGGUUGUGUCGCUGUGCUCUGACAUUCUCAUGGUUUACUGUUUCAUCUAAGUUCAGAAGUGAAAGGAUGGUGAUAAAAUGGCAGAAAAAAUGCAUAAUAGCAAAGAGAGAGAGAUAGAGAUGUAAUUCAAGGACUCAGAAGAGGCACACAGGUGACCUGUAAUCUAAAUUACCAGUUUCAAUCAAAAGUUGUCAAAACUCUCUGAUAAUAUUGGCAUAAGAUACCUUUAUUAUAUCCAUUUUAAAGCAUCCACCUGUGAAGAAGCCAAUUUUCCUCCCUUAAGUAAGUAUACCAUGAUCAAUUAAGAAUGAGUUUAUUAAAAAGAAACAAACUCAUAAAAUGAAAUGGGAGUUUUUACAACAUAAUGAAGAUAAAAAUGCUAAAAUUAAUUAAGUGGUUAUACGUGAAUUAAAAAGGUUAUAAAAAACAGUAGCAAAUGGCCUUCUAAGGUCUCAGGUUUCUGUAAGUGAAAAGCUUGGACUUUGAGUAUAACAGAAUUAUGGAAUUUUGGUCCCAUCACUCAACAAAUGUAGAAUCUUAAAUGAGUGUCUUAGUCACUCUGUUAUUCAAUUUUACCAUUUCAUUUAUUUUUAAUAGUACUAAUACUGAUAAUAAUAACAACAGUAAUUACACUUUCCUCAUGAACUUUUUUGAGAUUUAGAUGAGAAACUAUAUGAUCAAAUAAAGUAUUCAUUAAGCAAAUAUUCUUUUCCCUUUAUCUGGCAUCCAGACGGAAUUUCUCAGUGCUAAUUCAUUUUGAUAUUUUGAAGAGGAUUUUGUUGUGAUGAACUCAACAGGCAGACUGGAAUAGUUAAAGAAAAUGUCAAUCUCCUAUGAAAAAAUGUUAUACAUAUAAUAUCUGAAGUUAUUUGAUUUGAAAAGCAAAACAGAAAAUAUUUGUCAUAUUUAUAGUUUAGAUACGGAGUGAGUUUGAGGAUAAAGCACUUUAUGAAGCCUAGGUAAUUUUACACUGAUUAUCGUAACUUAGUGAGAAGAACUUUUGAUUUAUUAUACCUGUCUCCCUAAGUAAGAUAAAAUGUUUGAACAAAAAGUAAUUUUCAUCUUCAAGCCUAGAACUGGGUUUAGGGGAAAACAGCCAGUUAGAGAUAAGCCUCUUGUGAUGUAAGGAGCUGCAGGGAAAAGGAUCAGUUAACAGAACUCUUCAUAUUUUGCUAGAGGAGUGCUGGUGAAUUUAUAGAAGUGGGACAAGGGCAAGUUCUGUAAAAGGUCUUCACUCUUGCCAUGGACUGUACUGAAUAACAAAUCUAUUCAUUUAAAUUGAGAUUACACCCUGUUACUUUGGAUCUUCUUGGGGGAAAAAUAAAAACAAUUUAUGUCUAUGACAUAAUAAAGCAUAACUAUUACAGCAUCCACAGAAGUCAAAUCCAUCCUGAAAGAAAGGAUAGAUGGCUAGUCUAUAAAAUGUAUUUUUAUGCAAUAAUGAGUGAAGGAGAAACAGGUACAGAUAAUUAAUGCCAUUGACUUAUCUGAUCACCUUAAGAUAAAUAAAAUUCUAAUUCUUUAUGUUUACAUGUCUGCCAUGAAGACUUAACUGAUUCAUCUUAUUGGACUGAGAAUAUUUUUACAUGAUGUAAGCUAGUCGUCUGGGAGAGACAGUUUUCAAAUAAAGCAAUCAAAUUUAUGUCUGCUAGGUUUGGCUGUGUCCCCGACCAAAUCUCAUCUUGAAUUGUAAUUCCCGUAAUUCCCACGUGUCAUGGAAGGGACUCAGUGGAAGAUCGUUGAUUGUGGGGGCGGUUACCCUCAUGCUGUUCUUCUGACAGUGAGUGAAUUCUCCCCAGAGAAGAUGGUUUUAUAAGGGACUUUUCGUCUUGUUGCUCAGCACUUCUUCUUGCUGCUGCCGUGUGAAGAACGAUGUGUUUGCUUCCCCUUCUGUCAUGAUUCCACUGAAGACAUGCUUGCUUUCCCCUUCGCCUUCCGCUGUGAUUCAACGUUUCCUGAGGCCUCCCAGUCAUGCUUUCUGUACAGCUUGUGGAACUGUA